rnacentral:rRNA from 1 species
AACGAACGCUGGCGGCAGGCCUAACACAUGCAAGUCGAGCGAAGCCUUCGGGCUUAGCGGCGGACGGGUGAGUAACGCGUGGGAACGUGCCCUUUGGUACGGAAUAGCCCCGGGAAACUGGGAGUAAUACCGUAUGUGGUCGAGAGACGAAAGAUUUAUCGCCAAAGGAUCGGCCCGCGUUGGAUUAGGUAGUUGGUGGGGUAAUGGCCUACCAAGCCGACGAUCCAUAGCUGGUUUGAGAGGAUGAUCAGCCACACUGGGACUGAGACACGGCCCAGACUCCUACGGGAGGCAGCAGUGGGGAAUCUUAGGCAAUGGGGGAAACCCUGAUCUAGCCAUGCCGCGUGAUCGAUGAAGGCCUUAGGGUUGUAAAGCUCUUUUACCCGGGAUGAUAAUGACAGUACCGGGAGAAUAAGCUCCGGCUAACUCCGUGCCAGCCGCCGCCGUAACAC